UACGGGAGGCAGCAGUGGGGAAUAUUGCACAAUGGGCGCAAGCCUGAUGCAGCCAUGCCGCGUGUAUGAAAAAGGCCUUCGGGUUGUAAAGUACUUUCAGUCGUGAGGAAGGUGUUAAGGUUAAUAACCUUAGCAAUUGACGUUAGCGACAGAAGAAGCACCGGCUAACUCCGUGCCAGCAGCCGCGGUAAUACGGAGGGUGCGAGCGUUAAUCGGAAUUACUGGGCGUAAAGGGCACGCAGGCGGUUAAUUAAGUUGGAUGUGAAAUCCCCGGGCUUAACCUGGGAAUGGCAUUCAAGACUGGUUAGCUAGAGUCUUGUAGAGGGGGUAGAAUUCCAUGUGUAGCGGUGAAAUGCGCAGAGAUGUGGAGGAAUACCGGUGGCGAAGGCGGCCCCUGGACAAAGACUGACGCUCAUGUGCGAAAGCGUGGGGAGCAAAC
rnacentral:rRNA from 1 species